UGAGAGGUGGGAGCAGGUGGGACUCAGAGCUCAGAUUCCCAGAGUGGACGUUGAAGUCCCCAUUUAGGGGUGGAAGGCUUGGACCCACCUAGGAUGGAGCCUUAGCACAGAUGAGGACACAGCCAUUGAAAGCAUCGACUUAUUUGACUGUGUUAUCAAGACUGUUCUUAUGCUGUACUUGUUUCUCUUGGGCAUGCCAUUAGUGUGGUAUUCAUAAGCAGAAAUGUAAAAAAGAAAUGACAAGAAGUAUGUGUAGUAAAUCCACCUACUUUCCAGACUUAGUUCAAAGAUUAUGACCUAAGCAGAGGUCUGGUUAGUUUAGGCUUUGUGAACGUUUGUCCAAAUUAUAGUAGGUUUACUAGCUAAAAACCCUGGGUGAGUCUGAUGAAAAGUAUUUCUUUUUUUCCAUUGCUGUUUUUGUAACAUCCACAUCAAUCUAAAUUGCUGUUUAGAUAAGGUAACUCUACUUUACUGGCCAAGAGUGAGGAAUAAAAUCUGUUAAGUGGAUGCAACACACUUCCUUUCUGCCUAUUCAUUCAAAAGGCCCUAUAGUGAAAUGGCAAAGAGCCUUUAUUCAAAUGGUGGGUGCCAUGCUGUGGUAAUACAGAUGGAUUUUUCACAACAUGCAGAAGUGCUUAUAAAUAGAUACGUUUCAAUCAACAAGUAGCUUAUUCAGGCAUGUGCUCAAAUAUAGUAGCUGCAUUCAUUAGACAGACAUUUCCACUAAUCCCAAGACUAUACUAAUAAAAGAGUAAUCCCUUAUGGGCUAAAGGUGGUGCUGGUUUGCUUUUAACUCUUGGAGUCCUUCACACACCAAGGCCUAAUAAUAAUUGUAGCUGUAUUUGGUUUUCACCAAGUGAACUUAACCCAUUUAUGCCGGAGGUUGCAAUUUUUAAAAUUUUUGCAAUCAGAGCUUGGUGAUGACCUUGAGCAGUAGAAUAUAAAUAACUCUCACACGCUUAGCGUUCCGAUAAUGGAACACUAAGCAUAAAUGGGUUAAAAGCCGAGCUUAUCUUGGAAUUUUUCUAUUCUUAUUUUUUUAAAUUGCAGGAGCUUAGUGAAGAAAGAGGUGCUUUUUACUCUAGAUAUGUAGCUUUCAGCAAAGCCAAUUCAAAAAUCAGUUUGUGUGUGUGUAUGUUUUCUCGAUACUUUAUCAUAAAGCACUUGUCUCUUUCACCUUGGUUCAUAGAAGUGUUCGCUUGAGCAGAUUCUGUUUUGUUCUUUGAUGUUAGGAUAAAUAACAAUGGUCAGUUUUGAGAGCAUUUGCAAGCUCUCACUAUAGUGGUUUGCCUUUUUACGUGGACUUUUUCCCCUUCAAUAGCUCUUUACUCCUCCUAUGUUACUCAGAGCUAGCUGUAAUCCGUUUGCUUAGCACAACACCAAAAUCUUUCCCUUGCCAGUGGUGUCAAAUCUGCCUUCCUUUUUAUUAUUCUGACUUAUAAACUGCAGUGACCUCUGAGUCAACUUCGCCAUCUCUUGGCCCUGUGCCAACAUUGUGUUCUGUGAAAAGAGAGUCCUGCCAAGGGCUACGAGGCAGAAAACUGAUAUUAUUAAAGUGGUCUUCUGAACGGAUCUGGACUCAGAAGAGAUUUAAGUUUCAAAUCUGGCUUUGUCAGUUAAUGCUUGUGGGAUCUCAACCACGUCACUGACUUCUCUGAGCAUGCUUCCAUAUUUCUACAAAGGAAACAAUAGGUGACUCUGCUGAGUUGAGCACUUGCGAGUACCAAGCAGUGAGGACCUGAGGCACAGAUGCUAACCAGCUUGCUGGAGAUCACACACUCAUGAGUGGCAGAGUGGGGCUUGGAACCGGGUAGCCUGGCUCUGGAGCCCUCACUCCAUCCACACACCAUGCUGGGACCCAGUCGAGUGACCAGCAGACCGGUUGUGUGGGUUAGGUGGAAUGGUGGAUAUAAACCACACAGCCCAGCUCCUGACCCAUGCUGGGCCCUCAGUAAGUUACUACUUUCAUUAUUAUACAUGCGUAGAUGAAAGUUGGGUGGUAAUAGUGAUUUUCCCUAAGAUGAUGGAACUUUACGUGCCUUUGCCUUUUCUUACCUGUAUAUUCCUGAAAUCAACAGGUUCUACUUUUGUCACAAGAAGAGAGGAAAUAAUUGUACUUUUUUUUUUUUGAGAUGGAGUCUCAAUCUGUCACCCAGGCUGGGGUGCAGUGGCACAAUCUCGGCUCACUGCAACCUCCGCCUCCUGGGUUCACGCCAUUCUCCUGCCUCAGCCUCCCGAGUAGCUGGGACUACAGGCGCCCGCCACCACGCCUGGCUAAUUUUUUGUAUUUUUUAGUAGAGACGGGGUUUCACCAUGUUAGCCCCUUGAUAUGGUUAGGCCUUGUGUCCCCACCCAAAUCUCAUCUUGAAUUAUAAUCCCUGUAAUUCUCAUAAGCUUCACAUGUCAAGGGAGAGACCAGGUGGAGGUAAUUGAAUCAUGGGGGUAGUUCCCCAUGCUGUUCUUGUGAUAGUGAGUUCUCACGAGAUCUGAUGAUUUUAUACGUGUUUGGUAGUUCCUCCUGAAUUCCUUCUCAUUCCUGCCGCCUUCUGAAGAAGGUGCCUUGCUUCCCCUUCACCUUCUGCCGUGAUUGUAACUUUCCUGAGGCCUCCCCAGCCAUGCUGAACUGUGAGUCAAUUAAAACUCUUCCCUUUAUAAAUUUAUAAAUUUAUAAAUUCUUUAUAGCAGUGUGAAACGGGACUAAUACACCCUUCUUGACUUGCUUAUGUGACUUGCUUAUGUGACUUGCUCAUUUCCAGCAUGAGGCAGGAAAGGAUAGAAGCCUUUCAGAGCCUGAGCCAAGUUCCUCCUCACAGAAGCACAGAGGACACUUACUCCAUCUCUGAAAAAGCUGCCCACACCCCACCUCCAUCCAGCCUUCCAAAAGCCACCACGAAUGACCCGUAGGAGGGGCAGAGUGUGCCACUUGCUACGGACCAGAACCUCUGGGGAGCGGGGAUCAUCUCUGUGUCUCUCUGCUUCAACUGCAUUUAAAAUGAACAUUCUUAAUGAUAAACCUUUCCGUGUGUAAAGAAGGGCGUGGAAAAAUGUAUGUACUGGAGACUCGGGUAAUGACUUUCUAAGUGUGGAAAAUUUUCCCCCAAAGUGUUUCCAAAUAUAGAAAAGUCACAUAAUAAAUGAUGAGGGCUCAUAAACCUUUCUGGCAGCAGUUGCAGGGGUCAGAACAAGGAAGAAGGAAUUCCCAGCUCCUAGGGCCUCGCAUCCCACACUGUCUUCUGGGCUACUGUGCAACCAAUGGUUCCGUAUCUGUACGUACCCAGGGGCUCCUUAGAUAAAUAAUUGAAGUGAAAUAUCAAAUGUGUUACUGGUUUUUUAAUGUCACUGAUAAAACCCCUAAAAUAGACUGCAUGUCUCCCAGCUCUUCUGAACCAGGAGUGUUUGGGAAGUUGAGAAUGUCACUGGUCACAUUGUUCCUUUCUCUUGUGUCUCUAAAGGGUUUUGUUGUUUUAGGUUUGUUAAUGGUUGUCAAACACAUGCCUCAGACAUUUUUAACCUCCUGGAAGCCUACUGGACUCAACACACUGAAAC
rnacentral:lncRNA from 10 species